rnacentral:rRNA from 1 species
CCUACGGGGGGCAGCAGUGGGGAAUAUUGGACAAUGGAGGCAACUCUUACCCAGCAAUGCCGCGUGAAUGAAGAAGGUCUUCGGGUUGUAAAGUUCUUUAAUUAGGGACGAAAAAACUUACGGUACCCAACGAAAAAGCCCCGGCUAACUACGUGCCAGCAGCCGCGUGAAUACGUAGGGGCCAAGCGUUGUUCGGAAUGACUGGGCGUAAAGGGUGUGUUAGCGGUGUAGCAAGUUAGAAGUGAAAUACCUAGAGCUUAACUCAGGGGCUGCUUCUAAAACUGCGAUACUUGAGUGCAGUAGAGGAAAGUGGAAUUCCUAGUGUAGCGGUGGAAUGCGUAGAGAUUAGGAGGAACAUCAGUGGCGAAGGCGACUUUCUGGACUGUAACUGACGCUGAGGUACGAAAGUGUGGGGAGCAAACAGGAUUAGAUACCCUAGUAGUC